rnacentral:rRNA from 1 species
AGAGUUUGAUCAUGCCUCUGAUUGAACGCUGGCGGCAGGCCUAACACAUGCAAGUCCAGCGGUAGAGAGAAGCUUGCUUCUCUUGAGAGCGGCGGACGGGUGAGUAAUGCCUAGGAAUCUGCCUGGUAGUGGGGGAUAACGUUCGGAAACGGACGCUAAUACCGCAUACGUCCUACGGGAGAAAGCAGGGGACCUUCGGGCCUUGCGCUAUCAGAUGAGCCUAGGUCGGAUUAGCUAGUUGGUGGGGUAAUGGCUCACCAAGGCGACGAUCCGUAACUGGUCUGAGAGGAUGAUCAGUCACACUGGAACUGAGACACGGUCCAGACUCCUACGGGAGGCAGCAGUGGGGAAUAUUGGACAAUGGGCGAAAGCCUGAUCCAGCCAUGCCGCGUGUGUGAAGAAGGUCUUCGGAUUGUAAAGCACUUUAAGUUGGGAGGAAGGGCAUUAACCUAAUACGUUAGUGUUUUGACGUUACCGACAGAAUAAGCACCGGCUAACUCUGUGCCAGCAGCCGCGGUAAUACAGAGGGUGCAAGCGUUAAUCGGAAUUACUGGGCGUAAAGCGCGCGUAGGUGGUUCGUUAAGUUGGAUGUGAAAUCCCCGGGCUCAACCUGGGAAACUGCAUUCAAAACUGUCGAGCUAGAGUAUGGUA